UCGUAAUGAUCCUUAGCUAAACAGAUUUUAGCUUCUAUAAUUUUUUCUUUAAAGAAUUGAAUUUGAGCAGUAUUAGAUAAAUCAAUUAAAGAUAAUUUAUCAACACAAGAAGGAAUGUAUGACAUAAAUAACACUUACUUGAGGAAGGCAAAAUCUCUCUUUAAUAAUAUUGCACGCCAAAUCGAGAUCACCAAGCUGAUAAUCAAUUUGUACAGUUUGAUCGUGGAGACGAUCAAUGGUUUCGUAAAUAAAAUCUAAAUUACACUCUAGUUUUUUAGCUGGAGAGCACACUAUAUUACACUCACACAAAGUGGGAAUGGUUUCCAGGUUUACACACCUUUUUUACAAGAGAGAGAGAGAGAGAGAAGUCUAAUGCUUAGCUUCAAUUUUUU
rnacentral:lncRNA from 1 species